GUGAAUCAUCGAAUCUUUGAACGCACAUUGCGCCCCUUGGCAUUCCGAGGGGCACACCUGUUCGAGCGUCAUUUCACCAGUCAAGCUCCGCUUGGUGUUGGGCACUCUCGUCCCCCGGCUGCCCCGAACCAGGGCAGCGGGGGACGGGCCCCAAAGGCCUCGGCGGUGCGGUCCUGCUCCGGGCGUAGCAGCCUAUAUCUCGCCCGUGGGGCCAGGACCAGCGCCUCAGCCGCUAAAAAGUGGGAAAGGGACUCGCGCCCUUUUCUACUCUUUCUUCAGGUUGACCUCGAAUCAGGUGGG
rnacentral:misc_RNA from 1 species